rnacentral:lncRNA from 1 species
CCAGAUACUUAAGUCAACUACGUUUCUAAUGGCCCUUUUGUUGACAGUAGUAGCAAAUGGAUUCUUUAGGUUCAUUCACUGGUGGUAUGUCAGAAACGUCCAUCUUCUGGUUGGAAUUGGGAUCACCCACUUUCCCUUUCCAUUUUCCGUUGACAUUAGGAAGAGAUGUCCUCUUUCUCUUAACAACACCUUCCCUAAUAUCCAACACAAUAGUUGUUGAACUUGUGUUCCUAGGUGGAAUAAUUUUCUCCUUAGUAGUCCCGAGCAUCGCAUGUAGCUCCAUGAUACUCUUCUCCAAACCAUUCAUGUAAUAGUUCAUAGUGAACUGCUUGUAUACACUAUUCAACGAUUUAAGAAUGACAUUAAUAGCCAACUCUUGAGUGAAUGGGAAGCCAAGACGAACAAGUAUUUCAAACUACUCUUUUAGCUUUAGAACAUGUGUGUCACACCCCAAAACCGAGAACUGCGAAAACGUUCUGGGGAGGAGGACGUCAUGUAUAGUAUCACAACAAUGUAAAGUAGUAAACAAGAAACCACAUCGUCUACUGCAUCAAUAGUAUAAUUUUUAAUACAAGUGUGUUCUUUCAUAGUAUAAAACAACAUAAUGAAUACUCAAAAUAAAAGACAAGUCUUGACCGCUCCGUCUUCACAAAACCUAGUCGUCGUACCUGUCUAUUUGUGAUCUGAGAAUACAAGUUAUUUUGAAAGCGAGUAUCAACAAUAAAGCUGGUGAAUUCAUAAGUAUUUAUGUGUCUUUGAUUUGUAAAACUAUAAAGUAAAGACUUGUAAAUAUUUGGAGAAAAGUUUGCAUAAGUAUGAAAAUGUUUGUAAGUAAUUGUAAACGUUUGAAAACCAUAGAAAAUCCUAUAUUUCCUACUAGUAUAAAAAGUAGUCUUCUACCAAGACUUGACUGUUUUGAAAGUAGCCUUCCACCAAGAUCCGACUGUUUUGAAUGUAGCCUUCUACCAACACCUGAAUGUUUUGAAAGUAAGCAUCACUGUAAAUGUGACAAUUUUUCCCUUGUAUAACUAUUAUUAUAAAACUAUAGUCUACCUCAUCGUUUAUGUGUAUGUGUCACAAUAUAAAGAUAGUAAGGAAAAUAGUCUAUCUAUAUCAAAUAUAUUCUACCGCGUCGUUCAUGUGAAUGUGUCACAAAGUAAAGGUAAGAAGGAAAAUAAUAUAAUAACUAAAAUUGUAUCCUUUUGUACUAGGAUCUUCACGGCGUGGUAACUCGCCGAACAGUACAACCGUAGACACCCAUCGAUGAGCAUUUUCCCUAGUGUAGCUAACAGCCUUAGGUGUGGAAUGGUAAGUCCCGAAACGUAUGUAAUAGAUUCUAUGUAAUAGUAUCUAUUUAAAUGUAUCUAUGUAAAUGUAUUCAUGUAAACGUAUCUAUGUAAACGUAUCUAUGUAAACGUAUUCAUGUAAACGUAUUUAUGUAAACGUAUUCAUGUAAACGUAUCAAUGUAAACAUAUCUAUGUAAGUGUAUCUAUGUAAACGUAAUCAUGUAAACGUAUCAAUGUAAACAUAUCUAUGUAAAUGUAUCUAUGUAUACGUAUUUAUGUAAACGUAUUUUGUAAACGUAUCUCCUGUAAUUGUAUGCCUUGUAAUUGUAUGUCUUGUAAUUGUAUAUAAUCGUAUCUCUUCAUAUAGUAUGUAAAGUAUUAGUAUAGAUUCAUGAAUGAACCGACUCUUGUGUGAUUCCUUGUACUAGGAAUAGUAAGUAGUAUUUCCUAACUUUACCUAUUAUAGUUACUAUUAAUGUACGUGUAUAACCAAAAGUAUGCUUUUGCUACCCAAAGGUACUGAACUGACUGAUGAAACUUUUAUGUCUAUAUAUGUAUACAUGAUAUAUAACUGAUAUUUAGACGACAUUCGGACGACCCAAGACCACAUCCCAACGAGGAAAAGGAAAUAAAGUGAGCUAGCCAUCCUAAGUUCUUUAAACAUUGCUUAUAUAACUAUACAUAUAUAGGCAUGCAUUUGACAAUAUAAAAGUAUUAAAGAAGUUUUGUAAAACCUUUGAAAAGUUUAAUGACUAAGAAAUUGUCACACCCCAAAACCGAGAACGGCGGAAACGUUCUGGGGCGGAGUACGUCAUGUAAAGUAUCACAACACGGUAUAUUAGCAAACAAGUAAACAACAUCAUCCAUUUCAUUAAAUAUAUAAUUUUAAUACAAGCGUGUUCUGUACAGUUAUAGACACCAAAAAUGUAAAUCAAAAUAUAAGAUGAGUCUUGAAUACGCUCCAUCUUCUCAAAAGCUGGCCUCGGUACCUGUUUACUGAUGACCUGAGAAUACAAGUUAUUUUGAAAGAGUUUAUCAGCAUUAAAGUUGGUGAGUUCAUAAGUAUUUAGUGUCGGUGUUUGUAUCAAAACGUUUGAAUGUGGUUUGAAGUACGAGUUUGUAAACCUUGGUAAUAAAAGUAUAUGAAUUUUUGUAAGUGUUUGUAAAAGUUUGUAACUCCUAUAAAAUCCUAUAUUUCCUACUAAAAGUAGCCUUCUACCAAGGAAUAACUGUUUUCUAUGUUUGUUUCUUGUAAUAUAGUUUGUACAUUAAUGUUUCAGUGAAAUGAUCACUAAAUAUAUGUAAAGGGGUAAAUUAAUGUAGUACUGUUGUGUUGUAUUAUAGGAACUACUGCUAUACUAACUACCUUAAACCGGAUUUACAUCAAGGUAUUAUGUGAUUAAUUGUACCAUACUAUCGACUAUGAAUCACGACAAUGUAAGUCGUAAAAAGGUAUGACGUUUGGCACCCGCAGACCUGCAGGUCCGGCUGUAGCUAGCAGCAAGGUGUAGGAUAGUCAAUCCAAUAUAGAUCUAUACGCAAAAUCACUCUCUCCCUCCAAGAGACUCUGGCUACAACUCGAGCCAUGACAUUGAAGGCAUGCACCGAUACAGUGUAUCACAUUUAUGUUAACACAUUCAUGUAUAUGUAAUGUAUUGUUACUCAUACUAGUAUCGUUGUAUAUGUUCUCUAGGGUCAACCAGAAUCGCUCAAAAAUUUAUUUUCUUUCCAUGAAUCAGAAUCAUGUCGUCAUCUAGAAACAAUCAGCCGAGCAACGAAAUCCCAAUUCUCCAUAUCGACGUCGUUACAUUACAAGUUGCGGUAGCAGCUGCUGUGACAACUUUCCUUACGCACAUCAACGCAGGCAACAUAAGCAAGACUGACAAUGGGGUCGAGAGUUCCAAUGGUAGUACCAAAUCGGGAAACCAACAAAUAGUAACAGUCACCGGCUCGCAAAGCCGAAAGACAAAGAACAAGAAAAGAAAGCAUCAAGCCCAGAAAGAAUGCAAGAAAUCCCAAAAACUUGCCAUGCAACAGCACCAAGUGGAAACCCCUGCCAUUCCCGUACCGAGAAGGCGAUACGAGGGAAAACUCCCGAAGUGUGAUAAGUGUAGUUUCCAUCAUCAUGGGGCUUGCCAUGAGAUGCAAUGUUGCAAUUGCCUAAAAAUAGGGCACCAUGCUCGUAGCUGUGGAGCACCGGCACGACCCAUCACUCAAGUCCCUUUCAUAGGGACCAACCCUACACAUGAGAGUAGUGAUAGAGCCGAAUGCUUUAGGAAGCAAUUUCCAAGGUGGAGUAAUGAAGAAGGCACUCGUGUCCACAUAACACUGGCUAAACACCGCAAUCCCGUCACCAAUGCAAGUACCAGCCAGUCAUGCCACCAAUGCGGUGAGAUAGGGCACUUCAAGAAGGAUUGCCCUAUAGCAAAGAACUCUGGCGCAGAUGGGAGGAUUCUCAGGAUCAUAGCUGCAGGAGAGCCUACUACGGAACCCUCGUUAAUGUAACUUAGGUGUGUUGUUGUAACAGACUUAUAAACUAUCCAGAACUAGUGCAACUAGAGUCUUAUCUUUCACGGGAUCCUAUCAGUAUAGGGAUUCUCGUGCUGCGUAUACUUGUCUUUUGUAGUAUAUCUUAUUCGCAGCAAUAGUCUUGUAGUAAAUCUAAAGUACUGUAACUCUGUUCAUGGUUGCACGGUUGUGUUUUGUCUGUAAACGUCUUAUGUUCAAAUCUAAUGUCUUUUAAGUUUCAGUAUGACUCCGACAUUAUCAUACGAAUCGAUUCAAUUUGAUCCUCACAAAAAUAGUUUCAUACGUACGUCUCAUUAUCAGUAAACGUCUUUUUAGCGAAACCGUCAUAUCAGAACACCGAAGUACUCAUGCAUGGAGUGCCUCAUAGUUCUUUUAUUUCCGAAGAAAUCCCCGAAGUACCACUCGUGCAGUACGUCAAGUUUAAUCCAAGGAUUCAAGCGGUUGAUCUAUCACUGAGGAGUGUAUACAUAAGAGUGAUAUAUAAUCAAGGUUCUACAGGUUUAGAAUUGAUGAUUCCACUUUAACUUCUUUUUCCUCGAUGGGAUGUGAGCUUAAAGAAGAAUUAGUUAUUCGACUACCUUUUCAAUCUUAAUUAUAUGCGACUCGUAUACACGAAUUUGUGAUUGUGAAACCAUGUAUGAAUUCUAAUAUGAACUUCAGGACGGAGAAAUGCUCAAGGCUACGAGUAAUCACAUCGUCAUGUGAACAAACUUAGAAUCCAGUAAGACUUCUGCAAACAGAUCGCCCUACAAUCUAAACACCUAUGGAGAUACAAGAAUAGCUCGGACGACUUAGCAAACUACACAGAAAUAGAAUUAGAAGACUAGGCUUCUCACCCUGGAGAGCCCCGGUCUUAUUCUUCCAGAGAUCGACGGAUUGCAUCGUAUGUACCUUGAAUAUCGAGGACUCCAUCAAAAUUUUCCGUUAGAGAUUGUUAUCUCUGCCUCGCAUAGAUGAAUUGGUUGAGCAAACGCAAGGAAAGAAUUACUUUCAGAAAUGGACCUGAGAUCCGAAUAUCACCAGUUCGAGUGUUAGGGAAGGAUGUCCGGAAGACUAUCUUCCGAACUCGAUGUGGACACCUCGAGUCCGUAGUGAUACCCUUCCGAUAGGACCAAUACGCCCAUAGUAUUCACGAGCUAAAUGAGUAGGGUACGUCUUUCUUAGUUGGAUCAGUUCGUCAUUUCUCCAUGUAAUCACUUACUUAUCUACCCUCGUGGUAAGAAGGAACCCCUGGAAACAUUACCUUCAGAGGUUGCUCAUGGUGUUUGUGACUCCAUUAAAGGUGCAACAUUUGAGGCACUAAGCUUUCAAAAGUCAAGAUCAAGAGGAAUUGAGAUUGUUAUUGCUACAUAACAAUCAAGGUAAGAUCUAAACCCUAUUCUUAUGUUAAUAUCGAUUAUCACAUGCUAGAUCUAGGGUUUAUGAGCUUUGGAUGAUUAUUGCAUGUUCAUUAGACAAACUAGAUCCAAAGCUUUAGGAUUUGCAUGUACACCGUAGGAUUGAUGUAGUUUUCAAAACCCAUCAAUUAUCCGAUCAAUUUGAGACAAUUUCCAGACCCUCAAAUUGUUUUACCCGGUUUGGUCCUAUAAGUAGGGGUACAUCAUCUUCUUCCAUAUACCAUCUCAUAUGUAUCCUAGAUGAUGAAUCAGGCGGGUUCCUAAACAUACAAUGAUCCUAUUGGAUUAAGGUGUCUAAGCCAAUAACUAAAUUGGUAUAUUCUUGAAUUAGAAGCAAAGUCAUUUUUUGGGUUACCCUCAAAACUAGUAUUUGGAUAAAAUGACUUUUAGAGGAAGAGGCUGAAUUGCUAAUUUAUUAUAUGAUUAAUAAAUUGGAAUAAAUAUUUUAUUAAUAUAUUAAUAUAUUAAUUAGAAAUAAUAAUAAUAAUUAAUUUGGAAUUAAUCAGAAAUUAAUUUGAAUUAAUUUUGGGACUAAUUGAAUUGAUUAAAAAUGUAGGGACUAUUUGGUUAUUUAUUGAAAGUUGAAGCAGGAAAACUCUAGAACCCUAUGGGACGGGGGUGAACAAAAUUUGGAAGGGAAUAACCUAGAGUUAUCAUUCAUGAGGCUUAGGAUAAGGAGAUUAUCAUAUUAAUUAAUUUGGGCUUUAUCCCAGAAACCCUAGUUGUGGCUUCAAGUUUCUUUCAACUAUAUAAAUCCCUCCCUGAUUCUUAUUAUUUUCGUCCACUCCUUCUUACAUUCAUAGAGCUGAAAUUUUGCUCAGGCCUCCUCUCUCCUCAAGUCUUCUUGGUACUAGGGUUCUGGGUACAAGCCAUUAGAGGCAUGCAUUCCUUUGGUGAUAACUUUCCAAGGUUUUGAAGAAGGAUUCUACUUUGAUUAUUUGCAAUAAUACACUAAUUAUAAAGUUGAGUGAUGGACAAGUCGAAAAUUAUCAUUGUUAAUGGAGCGCUUGUGGUUUACUGACACAUUAAUUUGAGAUGAUAAAUGACAUCGAGGUUGUCAGGCGGGUUUGCGUGGUUAUUCACAUCUUAUUUUUGAUCUUCGGCAUCACAGUCACAAAUUUGAAGAUCAUAAUCUAAGAUUAAACAUGUCAUUGAAAAGAUCCAAUGAAUCUCAAACAAUCAAGGAGUUUCAUGCUAGAUUAAAAUUGAUAAAUUUGUAUUACCUACCUUGAUAAAUUCGCAAUUAGAUUACGGUAUCCCUCUUCUUUAUUGUGAAUUGUAUUUUGGAUCCUAGCCUUGAAUAUUUAUUUUGGGUUAAACUAUUAAGGAGUUAUAUCACUAACUAAAAACUAAUUAUCUUUUAUAGAUGUCUGGAAAUGGUGAUCUCGCUACUACUCAAGUCGGAUCCUCCAACUCUAAUUUCUCUUUACUCUCAAUCUAGUCGAAAGAGAAGCUCACCGUUCCCAACUACAUGGACUGGAUGAGGAAAUUCAAGAUGACUCUUCGAUAUGAUGGCAAGGAAUAUGUCCUUGAAAAUCCUCUUGUCGAGAUCGAUCAUUCCACCGCCACUCCUGAGGAAAUUGCCUCAUACAAUAAACAUUUUGAUGAUGAAUUUUUAUGUAAAAUGUCUCAGACUUAUGCUUAAUCAGAUAAAAAUAUCCAUAUCUACUGUAAUCAUCAGUAAAUGUUACAAAGUAUCUUCACCAUGUCCAGUGACAUGUCAGAAUGGACUACAUACAUCCAAGUUGAUGAUAUCCAAUAGAUCUAUCCCUCUCUCCAAGUUGCCUGUGAAAGGGACUUUGUCAUUUUCCCAAGUAAACAAGAUUAACAGUCUCCAUUGAACUCUAGGUUAAAUGGCUCCAAGAUUGAAUCUGAUUGGAGCUUGGCGAUUCUGUUCUCGUUUAUAUGGCCAAGACGACAAUUCCAUAGACAUGAUUUAUCCAAAGUAGAUGAACCAAAAUUUAAGAUUAAGUUAUCGUUUCUACUUACACCAAUCAUACAUUCAUAUAUGUCACUGCAAGGAUUUGCUUUUAAAUAAAGAGUAUUGUCUUUGUACACCAAAAUACUAGCAUUAUUAUUAUCAAAUCCAAAAGUAGAACUGUCACGCCACAAUGCAUAAAAUGAAAUGAUGUUUCUUCCCAUGUAAGGCGAAUAGAAACCAUCUUUUAAAACAAUUGAAAAACUAGAAGGUAAUAAAAGCUUGUGAUCUCCAAUAUUGGUAAAAACUACUAUGCUAUUGUUCCUCAUGAAAAAAUCAAGCUCUCCAUGUCUUAGCUUCCUACUUCUUCUUAUUACCUUCACAUCAGAACAAAUGUGGGUUCCACAUCCUGUGUCAAGUAUCCAAUUGUUAGAUGCAGCGGCCAAAUGUAAUUCAAUUGUAAACACACGUGAAGUGCCAAUACCCUUGGCCUUGUUCUUUUUAAGAUCCUCCAGAUACUUAAGUCAACUACGUUUCUAAUGGCCCUUUUGUUGACUGUAGUAGCAAUUGGAUUCUUUAGGUUCAUUCACUGGUGGUAUGUCACAAACGUCCAUCUUCUGGUUGGAAUUGGGAUCACCCACUUUCCCUUUCCCUUUUCCGUUGACAUUAGGAAGAGAUGUCCUCUUUCUCUUAACAACACCUUCCCUAAUAUCCAACACAAUAGUUGUUGAACUUGUGUUCCUAGGUGGAAUAAUUUUCUCCUUAGUAGUCCCGAGC